rnacentral:misc_RNA from 1 species
CUGCCCUCGAGCCGGUCCAGCAUCUAGGUGCUGCUCCGGCCCGGCGUUGGGGCACUACGGGAAGCCUCGUGCUAUCCCCCGUAGGCCCCGAAAUGAAGUGGCGGUCCUGCCGCGGCUCCCCCUGCGUAGUAUUACAGCUCGCUUCGGGACCCGGUGGAGGCCUGCCGUCAAACCUUACUCUCUAA